rnacentral:lncRNA from 1 species
UCAUCCAUCUCCCCUAUCUUCUUCUUCUUCUUCCUCCUUAACCUCCCCUUCUUCUUCUUCCACACAGCUCAGUCAGUCCCAGCUGCUUCUUGAUCCCUCUUCCUCACUCACCGCCGCCAUGGCCGCCGUCACGGCCGCCGCUGUCUCCCUCCGCUCCUCAACUACCACGCCCUCCUGCUCCUCCAAGGCCGCCGCCGCCUCGCCGUCUCACUCCCACUGCGGCUUCCCAAGAACCGCCGCCGCUGGCCGCCGCCAUGGCCUGCGAAUCAGGGCGCAGGCGGUCUCCACGGACGCAUCCGCGCCGCCGGAACCG